rnacentral:rRNA from 1 species
AACGAACGCUGGCGGCAUGCCUAACACAUGCAAGUCGAACGAGACCUUCGGGUCUAGUGGCGAACGGGUGCGUAACGCGGGGGAACCUGCCCUUAGGUUCCGAAUAACUCCCCGAAAGGGGUGCUAAUACCGGCUAAUGUCUUCGGACAAAAGAUUUAUCGCGCUUGGUUGGGCUCGGGUUGGUUUAGCCGGUUGGUAGGGUAAGAGCCUAUCAAGGCGACGAUCGAUAGCUGGUUUGAGAGGAUGAUCAGCCACGCUGGGAGUAAGACGCGGCCCGGACUCUUACGCGAGGGAGCAGUGGGUAAUAUAGGAAUAUGGGGGAAGGCCUGAUGCAGCAAUGCCGCGUGAGUGAUGAUGGCCUUAGGGUUGUGAUGCCCUUUUACCCGGGAUGAUAAUGACAGUACCGGGAGAAUAAGCUCCGGCUAACUCCGUG